CAUGCUCAGGACGAACGCUGGCGGCGUGCUAAUACAUGCAAGUCGAGCGGACAGAUGGGAGCUUGCUCCUGAUGUUAGCGGCGGACGGGUGAGUAACACGUGGGUAACCUGCCUGUAAGACUGGGAUAACUCCGGGAAACCGGGGCUAAUACCGGAUGGUUGUUUGAACCGCAUGGUUCAAACAUAAAAGGUGGCUUCGGCUACCACUUACAGAUGGACCCGCGGCGCAUUAGCUAGUUGGUGAGGUAAUGGCUCACCAAGGCAACGAUGCGUAGCCGACCUGAGAGGGUGAUCGGCCACACUGGGACUGAGACACGGCCCAGACUCCUACGGGAGGCAGCAGUAGGGAAUCUUCCGCAAUGGACGAAAGUCUGACGGAGCAACGCCGCGUGAGUGAUGAAGGUUUUCGGAUCGUAAAGCUCUGUUGUUAGGGAAGAACAAGUACCGUUCGAAUAGGGCGGUACCUUGACGGUACCUAACCAGAAAGCCACGGCUAACUACGUGCCAGCAGCCGCGGUAAUACGUAGGUGGCAAGCGUUGUCCGGAAUUAUUGGGCGUAAAGGGCUCGCAGGCGGUUUCUUAAGUCUGAUGUGAAAGCCCCCGGCUCAACCGGGGAGGGUCAUUGGAAACUGGGGAACUUGAGUGCAGAAGAGGAGAGUGGAAUUCCACGUGUAGCGGUGAAAUGCGUAGAGAUGUGGAGGAACACCAGUGGCGAAGGCGACUCUCUGGUCUGUAACUGACGCUGAGGAGCGAAAGCGUGGGGAGCGAACAGGAUUAGAUACCCUGGUAGUCCACGCCGUAAACGAUGAGUGCUAAGUGUUAGGGGGUUUCCGCCCCUUAGUGCUGCAGCUAACGCAUAA
rnacentral:rRNA from 1 species